rnacentral:rRNA from 1 species
AUACGGAGGAUCCGAGCGUUAUCCGGAUUUAUUGGGUUUAAAGGGUGCGUAGGCGGCCUUUUAAGUCAGCGGUGAAAGUCUGUGGCUCAACCAUAGAAUUGCCGUUGAAACUGGGAGGCUUGAGUAUGUUUGAGGCAGGCGGAAUGCGUGGUGUGGCGGUGGAAUGCUUAGAUAUCACGCAGAACCCCGAUUGCGAAGGCAGCCUGCCAAGCCAUGACUGACGCUGAUGCACGAAAGCGUGGGGAUCAAACAGGAUUAGAUACCCUGGUAGUCCACGCAGUAAACGAUGAUCACUAGCUGUUUGCGAUACAGUGUAAGCGGCACAGCGAAAGCGUUAAGUGACCCACCUGGGGAGUACGCCGGCAACGGUGAAACUCAAAUGAAUUGACGGGG